rnacentral:rRNA from 1 species
UACGUAGGGUGCGAGCGUUAAUCGGAUUUACUGGGCGUAAAGCGUGCGCAGGCGGCCCGUUAAGACAGGUGUGAAAUCCCUGGGCUCAACCUAGGAAUUGCGCUUGUGACUGGCGGGCUCGAGUACGGUAGAGGGGGGUGGAAUUCCUGGUGUAGCAGUGAAAUGCGUAGAGAUCAGGAGGAACACCGAUGGCGAAGGCAGCCCCCUGGGCCUGUACUGACGCUCAUGCACGAAAGCGUGGGGAGCGAACAGG